CUAAAAAAUGAAAGUUUAGAUGUUCGGGAAAAAGAUGAAAUUUCUUUGCUGUCCCAGCAACUGUAAUGCUGAUGAAUGUUGAAUUACCCAUUGAAACAUUGUUUUGAGAAGGGCAACUAGUAAAAAGACGCUAAGCCAGUAGACCGGUCUAAUUUUUCACAAAUAG
rnacentral:ncRNA from 2 species